UAGGGAAUCUUCGGCAAUGGGGGCAACCCUGACCGAGCAACGCCGCGUGAGUGAAGAAGGUUUUCGGAUCGUAAAGCUCUGUUGUAAGAGAAGAACGUGUGUGAGAGUGGAAAGUUCACACAGUGACGGUAACUUACCAGAAAGGGACGGCUAACUACGUGCCAGCAGCCUCGGUAAUACGUAGGUCCCGAGCGUUGUCCGGAUUUAUUGGGCGUAAAGCGAGCGCAGGCGGUUUAAUAAGUCUGAAGUUAAAGGCAGUGGCUUAACCAUUGUUCGCUUUGGAAACUGUUAAACUUGAGUGCAGAAGGGGAGAGUGGAAUUCCAUGUGUAGCGGUGAAAUGCGUAGAUAUAUGGAGGAACACCGGUGGCGAAAGCGGCUCUCUGGUCUGUAACUGACGCUGAGGCUCGAAAGCGUGGGGAGCAAACAGG
rnacentral:rRNA from 1 species